AUGAACGCUGGCGGCGUGCCUAAUCCAUGCCAGUCGAGCGAACAGACGAGGAGCUUGCUCCUCUGACGUUAGCGGCGGACGGGUGAGUAACACGUGGAUAACCUACCUAUAAGACUGGGAUAACUUCGGGAAACCGGAGCUAAUACCGGAUAACAUGUUGAACCGCAUGGUUCAACAGUGAAAGACGGUCUUGCUGUCACUUAUAGAUGGAUCCGCGCCGCAUUAGCUAGUUGGUAAGGUAACGGCUUACCAAGGCAACGAUGCGUAGCCGACCUGAGAGGGUGAUCGGCCACACUGGAACUGAGACACGGUCCAGACUCCUACGGGAGGCAGCAGUAGGGAAUCUUCCGCAAUGGGCGAAAGCCUGACGGAGCAACGCCGCGUGAGUGAAGAAGGUCUUCGGAUCGUAAAACUCUGUUAUUAGGGAAGAACAAAUGUGUAAGUAACUAUGCACGUCUUGACGGUACCUAAUCAGAAAGCCACGGCUAACUACGUG
rnacentral:rRNA from 1 species